GCUCACUUCCUUUCAGUUGCCUCAAUAUGCGGCCCAAAUCUCAUUUAAAUUAUCUUGAAUACUUUUUUUUGAGAGAGAUAGAUAGCACGCUACCCAUUUCGUUUAUUUCAUUUAGAAAUAAACUUAGCUAGAAAUGUGAAUCAACUAGGAUUCGAACUUGGGUCUCAGAUACCAACCACCAAGCCCUUUGCCACUUGCUCUAGGGACGGUUGAUUGAAUACUUAAAAAUAAU
rnacentral:lncRNA from 1 species